AGAUUGAAAUGAAAGCUCACCUGAAGUGCAGCGCAUUAGCUGGAAGUUGUCAGCAGAUCUGAUUGUGAUGGGCUCUCCGAGGUUUUGGAGUUUACACGUACUGGACAAACAGUGGUAUUGCCCCCCCUGAGGGCCCCCACACUUUGGGAACCAUUGCAGUAGAUGGUGCCUAGAGGCUGCACUACUUGGAGGGCUUGCCUGCUGAUUGGUGUCAGCGAACCUGUGUUCAAUCACCUCAUCAUCUAGGAGUAUAUGAGGAGUGGGCUGCCAGCACUUCAGCGCCUGAGUGUUUGCCAGUUACGGUGUUUCCUUGUGACGCCUUGGAUUUAACCACUGUGUAGCCCGAGUUCUUAGCUUUCUGGUUUACCUUCGUGACGCCGUGGAUUUUACCCACUGGUUGCCCGAUUCCCUCUCCACCUCUACUGAAGUGGAAUGAAGAAUUGAUAGUUAAUUAGUGAUCAUACUAUGGAAAUGACAAGAUCUGAACAAACAAGAAAGUUGACUACCCUAAGGGAUUUCGCACAUUGGAUAAUGACUUUCUUUAGCAGACUAAAUUUAACCUUACCAAAUUUUUGCCUUAGAGCAAACAGGUACUACAUUCAAAGCAUGAUGAAGACCAGCAAGCAAAACAUUCACUGAGUGGAUGUAGUAGAAUAUCGGAGUACAGGAGUACAGCAUAGAAGAUGUGACUGAGUCAAGACAUUGUCCACAAGUUCAGACUAGCAAAUUGUUAGCUAAGCAGGAAAAUAUGUUGUAUUUACUUAAAUUUAUGCAAACCAAUUGUCUCAAAAGAUUCAAUUACUGCAACAUAUUAAAGACACGUGAAGUUAAAUUGUAUGGUUUAAGUAUUGCAAUCCUAAAAUUUAAUUAUAUCGUUCAAUUUUGUUUUUGAAUGCCUUUUUAAAAUGUAUUUAGUUGUACAUAAGUUAUAUAGCAAAGAAUAUCUUGACAUUAAAAGACAUGUGAAUAAGCUAUUUGGUCAAGACUUUUCCAUGGAAAACAAUAUUUUAAACUCAUCCAAAAUAGUAUUCUCAGCAAAAUUUCUUUUUUUUCUGCCUACAACAGCAGGAAUAUAUUUAUUACAUACAGUAAAGAUACAUCAUGUCAUUAUUUGACAUAGUUGUACUGUUCAAAACCUUUUGGUCUGCUUGAGUAGAAAUGGCAUAGUGUUAAAAUGCUAAACUACAGACAAACAUCAGUUGUUCCUGUUAAUCUGGGGGCUGCAGAGGAAGAGAGCAGCAGAUCCAGUAGUGAUUGAUGAUUAGGAUUUGUGUUCAGUGUGAUAUUAUCUACCAACAAUAAUGUAGCUUAUUAGUAUGGUGUUACAUAAAACCCUAAAGAUAAAAUGUACUCUUCCAACUGUUGUGACUUAUAAAGCAACAGUGUUACUGGUUGCAGUCCGUGUUAUUCUUUCUUGUUAAAACUUUGACAUAAUAAAAGCUGGAGGAUGGUUUUGUUUCUGA